GAUGACGCUGGCGGCGGGCCUAACACAUGCAAGUCGAGCGAGCGGCGGACGGGUGAGUAACACGUGAUAACCUACCUAUAGGGCUGGGAAAACUUUGGGAAACCGGAGCUAAUACCGGUUACUUCUAGAUGGAUCCUAGCUGCAUUAGCUAGUAAGUAAGGUAACGGCUUACUAAGGCCACGAUGCAUGUCCGCUCUGAGAGGGUGAUCCGCCACACUGGAACUGAGACACGGUCCAGACGCCUACGGGAGGCAGCAGUGGGGAAUAUUGCACAAUGGGCGCAAGCCUGAUGCAGCCAUGCCGCGUGAGUGAAGAAGGUCUUAGGGUUGUAAAGUUCUGUCAGUCGGGAGGCGUUACCUAAUGAAAAAGCACCGGCUAACUCCGUGCCAGCAGCCGCGGUAAUAC
rnacentral:rRNA from 1 species